UACGUAGGUGGCAAGCGUUGUCCGGAUUUACUGGGCGUAAAGAGCGCGCAGGCGGUCGUUCAAGUCGCGUGUGAAAGCCCCCGGCUCAACUGGGGAGGUCACGCGAUACUGAUCGACUCGAAGGCAGGAGAGGGAAGUGGAAUUCCCGGUGGUAGUGGUGAAAUGCGUAGAUAUCGGGAGGAACACCAGUGGCGAAGGCGACUUCCUGGCCUGUUCUUGACGCUGAGGCGCGAAAGCUAGGGGAGCAAACGGGG
rnacentral:rRNA from 1 species